GACUAGUUUUAUUAUUACCAAAUCAAAAAGAAAAAGCUAUCAUUUUUCUCUUCUCCUUCACCGAAAUAUGCAGCAAAGAAAUGGCUUUGAAGCUGGAAAAUUUCAGCAACAUAUUUCCCUUGCUUAUGAUGAAAAUCGAGAUUUGGACCUAGAACGGAAAGAAAUCGAUUAAGGGAUAAUUACGCUUUUUUUUACCUUUGUGGUAUCGAGAGUUUCUAGGUUAGCUCGGGUUGGAGGCCGUCAGAGAUAUUAUCACACUGUCAAGCUAACGCUAUUGGUGUAGUGAUUUCAAGUACUUUGAGCCUAUGGCAUGUAUAGGAGUUUAAAUAUUAGAGUAUGUGAUAUGGCUUUAACCAUAUGUGUUGUUGGCCUAUUUUGAUUAUGGGGUUGUAAAUCUAUUUUAAUUAUGCAUGCAUGUGCUAUGGUAUUAUGUGAUGAGUUUAUAAUGAUUAUAGUAUGAAUGUGGUAAAGAUGUGAGUAAAA